rnacentral:lncRNA from 1 species
UUAAAGAAAGUAAAUAAAACCAUAAGCACAUAAACAUACAAGUAUACAAGCACAUAAGACCUAACUAUUACAUUGAGUCCUAACUACAAUCUAAAAGGAAAACUAUAAGAUAAUAAACCUAUCCAACCUAUCUAUUACAUUUAUUUAACUAAUUACAUUUCUUGCAAAAAUAAAAUCUGUGGAUUACAUUGUCUGUGUAAUCACAUUUCUUGUGCAAGAGGAUAUAACCUAUCAAUGACAAUUGAGGCAUUUAAAUACCCUCCAAAUAAUCAUAAGACUUAAAUUAAACAAACAUAAAAAAAAAACUUAAAACAAAUAAAAAACAUAAAAUAUAGGAGCACAUAAAAGGAAUUUAAAGAAUAAUAGAUGCACCUCCCUUUUAAAGUAGUGGCUAAGUGAGCGGAAGGGAGAUUUGUUUAUUUUUCCGAAAUCAACAAAUGGGUUAAUUAGGGAUGGCAACGGGGGCUAAUAGGGUAGGGAGGGGGAUUUUUCCCCCUGUUUAGAAAUGGGGCGGGAGGCAGGGGAGUAUACCCCAGCCCCACUACCCAUUAAAAAAAAUAAAUAGAUAAAUAAAUAAUGUAUAUAAUGUAUAUAUAAUAUUUAAUGUAAUC